AGCUUUGCGCAGUGGCAGUAUCGUAGCCAAUGAGGUUUAUCCGAGGUGCAAUUAUUGCUAAUUGAAAAAAAGAUUUUAAUUUU
rnacentral:snRNA from 1 species